rnacentral:rRNA from 1 species
CGCUGGCGGCAGGCUUAACACAUGCAAGUCGAACGCCCCGCAAGGGGAGUGGCAGACGGGUGAGUAACGCGUGGGAACAUACCCUUUCCUGCGGAAUAGCUCCGGGAAACUGGAAUUAAUACCGCAUACGCCCUACGGGGGAAAGAUUUAUCGGGGAAGGAUUGGCCCGCGUUGGAUUAGCUAGUUGGUGGGGUAAAGGCCUACCAAGGCGACGAUCCAUAGCUGGUCUGAGAGGAUGAUCAGCCACAUUGGGACUGAGACACGGCCCAAACUCCUACGGGAGGCAGCAGUGGGGAAUAUUGGACAAUGGGCGCAAGCCUGAUCCAGCCAUGCCGCGUGAGUGAUGAAGGCCUUAGGGUUGUAAAGCUCUUUCACCGAUGAAGAUAAUGACGGUAGUCGGAGAAGAAGCCCCGGCUAACUUCGUGCCAGCAGCCGCGGUAAUACGAAGGGGGCUAGCGUUGUUCGGAAUUACUGGGCGUAAAGCGCACGUAGGCGGAUAUUUAAGUCAGGGGUGAAAUCCCGCAGCUCAACUGCGGAACUGCCUUUGAUACUGGGUAUCUUGAGUAUGGAAGAGGUAAGUGGAAUUCCGAGUGUAGAGGUGAAAUUCGUAGAUAUUCGGAGGAACACCAGUGGCGAAGGCGGCUUACUGGUCCAUUACUGACGCUGAGGUGCGAAAGCGUGGGGAGCAAACAGGAUUAGAUACCCUGGUAGUUCACGCCGUAAACGAUGAAUGUUAGCCGUCGGGCAGUAUACUGUUCGGUGGCGCAGCUAACGCAUAAACAUCCCGCC